GGCAUCAUAACUCAGUAGGCUAGAGCAGUGGCUGUACUAAAGCCUUCCCUUUGCUGGCGUGGGUUCAAAUCUCACUGAGGCCA
rnacentral:tRNA from 1 species